rnacentral:misc_RNA from 1 species
GAGGUUGAAAGGAGCUUUGCAGAAGCCUUACAGAAGGAGAGGCUAAAGUGCCAGAUGGAAUAUAUCGAAUCAGUGAAGAAGCUGGAGGAAAAGAUGGUGGCCAAUCAGAAAAAGCAUGGUCGUGAUAGCUUCCUCAAUGAAAAAUGCAAUGGAGAGGUGCUGGGUACUUCUACUUCUGAAGAAGUUUCUGAGAUAAAAAAGUUGCUUCAAAAUGAAACUCAGCUAAGAAAGACAGCCGAAGAAGAGGUCAAGAAGCUUAAGAGUCAGUUAGAGAAUUUUAUGCAAUCUAUGGCAGGUGGAGAUGCGGAGAUUGUAAAGGUUCACAGAAUGCUGGAAGAUGAGACUCAUAAAAAUAAGAAACUGGAAGAAGAUAUUUUGAUUCUACAAAGUCAGUUAUUGCA